rnacentral:rRNA from 1 species
CCGCCUGGGGAGUACGGCCGCAAGGUUAAAACUCAAAUGAAUUGACGGGGGCCCGCACAAGCGGUGGAGCAUGUGGUUUAAUUCGAUGCAACGCGAAGAACCUUACCUGGUCUUGACAUCCACAGAAGAAUCCAGAGAUGGAUUUGUGCCUUCGGGAACUGUGAGACAGGUGCUGCAUGGCUGUCGUCAGCUCGUGUUGUGAAAUGUUGGGUUAAGUCCCGCAACGAGCGCAACCCUUAUCCUUUGUUGCCAGCGAUUAGGUCGGGAACUCAAAGGAGACUGCCAGUGAUAAACUGGAGGAAGGUGGGGAUGACGUCAAGUCAUCAUGGCCCUUACGACCAGGGCUACACACGUGCUACAAUGGCGCAUACAAAGAGAAGCGACCUCGCGAGAGCAAGCGGACCUCAUAAAGUGCGUCGUAGUCCGGAUUGGAGUCUGCAACUCGACUCCAUGAAGUCGGAAUCGCUAGUAAUCGUGGAUCAGAAUGCCACGGUGAAUACGUUCCCGGGCCUUGUACACACCGCCCGUCACACCAUGGGAGUGGGUUGCAAAAGAAGUAGGUAGCUUAACCUUCGGGAGGGCGCUUACCACUUUGUGAUUCAUGACUGGGGUGAAGUCGUAACAAGGUAACCGUAGGGGAACCUGCGGUUGGAUCACCUCCUUA